AAAGAAUCUUCUGAUCACAUACAAUCUGAUUCUUUAAGAGGGGAAAAAAUAAUGUCUCACUACUUCAACACAAUAAUUCUCGAAGUAUUUAUGUUGUUUCUGCUGAUACAAAUUCUUCAUCCUCUCAAGAACAAAAACACAAAUAUAAUAUUCAUGUAGAGGUACCUAACACUGGUCAGUCCUUAACCAAGGCGUCCUGUCUCACAGUUAAGAUUCCAGAACCCAGUGCCAAUUCUAAGCCCCCUAAUAACUCUGUUAUUAACAGAGUUAAAAUUGACACAGCAGCACCAAUUGAAUCUGUGAAGCAGGCAGUGU
rnacentral:misc_RNA from 1 species